AUGAUUAUAAGCGUCACAUAUAUAUUAUGUCGAAAAUUUAUUUUUCCCAUGGUUGGCGUCCCGGCAAGUCCCUAUGUGGGCUUGGUCCGUCGUACGACCGUGGAGAUGGCGCAUGGUCAAGGGUCUGUUCCUUCCAAUGAACUAUCGAUUUGUCAGUUAGCUGAGCGACAUCUAUAUGAGCCUAAUACUAGUGAAGAGGUCAACCCAGUGAUCAGACAGCAGGUGCUCACACAUGCGAAUUUGACGCGCCAUCCUCGUGGUUGGAAUGUGGGGUCUACUCUUAGUGACUAUUCUUUUCAUCCACUAGCGCCUUAUCCUAAACCUGAUCAUGAAGCCUACACCCUAGGGACCAGGAUGGUAGCAAAAGGUCUAGGUUGGGAUGGUCACACAGUCGAGUAUGUUCCGCAACCCAAAGGCUAUGUUGAGUGGGGCAUCUCUAUAUUGAAUAACCACUCGUUUUGUUUGAAAGGAGAAGCGGAGAACACCGUUUACAUAUAUGGGGCCAUUUACUGCUCCCUCGGUGAAUAUGAAGUUUCAGAUUCGUUACUGAGGUCACUACUGGAAAGAUGGGAUCCGGAAACAAAUACUUUUCUUUUUCAUCUGGUGAACGCACCGUGA
rnacentral:rRNA from 1 species